UAGAUUUUACCUGCAAUUUUCGGCUCAACCACUAUCCAUUUUGCUCCGAUAUGGCCAUAGAAGUGCUCAGAAUUGAAUUCCGAGUAGAUAAGAGAAUUUUUACCUUUUUUGACGGUUGGAAGUGAUUUCGGUACAACAGCGGUCGGCUCCCUUCUCCGGCGACUGAUUAUUCUUCGCCAUCCAGUAUGAUGUAACAUUCACAGUAGGAUUCCCUAUGUACC
rnacentral:lncRNA from 1 species